GAAAGGAAUGCAAAGGAAAGUCAACAGAGGUUGAAACAAAAAUAAAACAUUGUUUGUUUCAGUCCAUUGCAAGAGCAUUCCACCCUUGUGAAAACCAGAGAUACACAGAGUACAGAUAAGUAUCGCUCUCAACCCUCAUCAAUGAAACUAAUACACACCAUUACAUAAAACCAUAACUGGUCAAAAUGUGAAGAACAACUGUAUAUGAGACUAUGCCCAACCAAGAACAAAAGUAGCAACACUUCUACAAUGAAGACUGGAGGAACUUCAUGGAACAUGAGGUAGAAAGAUUUUCAGGACCAGGGAAGCAGGAUUGGAAUUUUGCUCUGAGAUAGUAUCUUCUAUACAUGACAGAACAAAAUUUGGAGAGUCAUUCAAAGAAGUUCACAUGGAGACAUUCCUGAAGCUGGAGAGAUUAAUGUGUGGCCAAAGAAUGCUAGUGAUGCCUGACUGUCACCAGAGUCCAAAGGAAGAAUCAGUUCAUCACAUCAUCA